AAAAUACCAGCCGCUCAAGAUGGCAGUACCUCUUCACAACACAUUGCUAAUCAGUUGAAAGCAUCAAACGGAGACAGCAUAUGCCUUAUCCCAUACAACACUGGGGUAAUCUCAAACAACAAGGUUGUGUUGAAUGUGGAUAUUGUGUCAUGCGGUACAUGAAGGAGAUUGUUGAAUGUGAGGAUCUACAGUUGGAGAGGAAGUUUGCAGGUUGUGUGAAGAACCAGUACUAUACGCAGACACAAUAUGAUGAAGUGAGAAUUGAAUGGAGUGAAUUUGUGUACUCGUAUUUGAAGUGAAUUGCAAGUUGUGUGAAUGAACCAGUA